CAGAAAUCACUUUCCAUGUGUCUUCUGAUCAUUAUCAUGAAACAUGAUAAAUGAUCUAGCCCAUGAGGUAUAAAUGAAAAUGAAAUGGAUAAUUGGAUUCUAUGUCUAAAUUGUGGCUGGAAUAGUCACAGCAAUUAUAAUUGAAUUUAUCUCAUAAAAAUGUGUUUGGCCCUAUGUUAAUGACCUUUCAUCAUCUUGAGCCUGUGAUGUUAUAUGAAACUAUUCAUAAGAUAAUUAUAAGAAGUUUAUCACAAUUGUAUAAAAAAUUCUCUAACACUUUAAAUUUUCUCUGUUUUUGCUUUAUUUGCCUAUAACUUGAAGUAUUCAGUAUUAUACUGUUUAUCUACAAUGGAUUUAAGCAGCUGAUACUGAUAAUCUUUUGAUA
rnacentral:lncRNA from 1 species